rnacentral:rRNA from 1 species
AUUGAACGCUGGCGGCAGGCCUAACACAUGCAAGUCGAACGGUAACAGGAAACAGCUUGCUGUUUCGCUGACGAGUGGCGGACGGGUGAGUAAUGUCUGGGAAACUGCCUGAUGGAGGGGGAUAACUACAGGAAACGGUAGCUAAUACCGCAUAACGUCGCAAGACCAAAGAGGGGGACCCUCGGGCCUCUUGCCAUCGGAUGUGCCCAGAUGGGAUUAGCUUGUUGGUGGGGUAACGGCUCACCAAGGCGACGAUCCCUAGCUGGUCUGAGAGGAUGACCAGCCACACUGGAACUGAGACACGGUCCAGACUCCUACGGGAGGCAGCAGUGGGGAAUAUUGCACAAUGGGCGCAAGCCUGAUGCAGCCAUGCCGCGUGUAUGAAGAAGGCCUUCGGGUUGUAAAGUACUUUCAGCGGGGAGGAAGGGAGUAAAGUUAAUACCUUUGCUCAUUGACGUUACCCGCAGAAGAAGCACCGGCUAACUCCGUG